rnacentral:rRNA from 1 species
AUUGAACGCUGGCGGCAGGCUUAACACAUGCAAGUCGAGCGGUAGCACAGGGGAGCUUGCUCCCUGGGUGACGAGCGGCGGACGGGUGAGUAAUGUCUGGGAAACUGCCUGAUGGAGGGGGAUAACUACUGGAAACGGUAGCUAAUACCGCAUAACGUCGCAAGACCAAAGAGGGGGACCUUCGGGCCUCUUGCCAUCAGAUGUGCCCAGAUGGGAUUAGCUAGUAGGUGGGGUAAUGGCUCACCUAGGCGACGAUCCCUAGCUGGUCUGAGAGGAUGACCAGCCACACUGGAACUGAGACACGGUCCAGACUCCUACGGGAGGCAGCAGUGGGGAAUAUUGCACAAUGGGCGCAAGCCUGAUGCAGCCAUGCCGCGUGUGUGAAGAAGGCCUUCGGGUUGUAAAGCACUUUCAGCGAGGAGGAAGGUGGUGAACUUAAUACGUUCAUCAAUUGACGUUACUCGCAGAAGAAGCACCGGCUAACUCCGUGCCAGCAGCCGCGGUAAUACGGAGGGUGCAAGCGCUAAUCGGAAUUACUGGGCGUAAAGCGCACGCAGGCGGUUUGUUAGUCAGAUGUGAAAUCCCCGGGCUCAACCUGGGAACUGCAUUUGAAACUGGCAAGCUAGAGUCUCGUAGAGGGGGGUAGAAUUCCAGGUGUAGCGGUGAAAUGCGUAGAGAUCUGGAGGAAUACCGGUGGCGAAGGCGGCCCCCUGGACGAAGACUGACGCUCAGGUGCGAAAGCGUGGGGAGCAAACAGGAUUAGAUACCCUGGUAGUCCACGCUGUAAACGAUGUCGAUUUGGAGGUUGUGCCCUUGAGGCGUGGCUUCCGGAGCUAACGCGUUAAAUCGACCGCCUGGGGAGUACGGCCGCAAGGUUAAAACUCAAAUGAAUUGACGGGGGCCCGCACAAGCGGUGGAGCAUGUGGUUUAAUUCGAUGCAACGCGAAGAACCUUACCUACUCUUGACAUCCAGAGAACUUUCCAGAGAUGGAUUGGUGCCUUCGGGAACUCUGAGACAGGUGCUGCAUGGCUGUCGUCAGCUCGUGUUGUGAAAUGUUGGGUUAAGUCCCGCAACGAGCGCAACCCUUAUCCUUUGUUGCCAGCGGUUCGGCCGGGAACUCAAAGGAGACUGCCAGUGAUAAACUGGAGGAAGGUGGGGAUGACGUCAAGUCAUCAUGGCCCUUACGAGUAGGGCUACACACGUGCUACAAUGGCAUAUACAAAGAGAAGCGACCUCGCGAGAGCAAGCGGACCUCAUAAAGUAUGUCGUAGUCCGGAUUGGAGUCUGCAACUCGACUCCAUGAAGUCGGAAUCGCUAGUAAUCGUAGAUCAGAAUGCUACGGUGAAUACGUUCCCGGGCCU